rnacentral:rRNA from 1 species
GUGAGUCAUUGCAGUAAUGCAAGGCAGACGGCUCAGUAACACGUAGUCAACCUACCCUAUAGACGGGGAUAACCUCAGGAAACUGAGGAUAAACCCCGAUAGAUCAUUAUGCCUGGAACGGUUUAUGGUCCAAAUGAUUCGUCGCUAUAGGAUGGGACUGCGGCCUAUCAGCUUGUUGGUGAGGUAAUGGCCCACCAAGACUAUUACAGGUACGGGCUCUGAGAGGAGUAGCCCGGAGAUGGGUACUGAGACACGGACCCAGGCCCUAUGGGGCGCAGCAGGCGAGAAAACUUUGCAAUGUGCGAAAGCACGACAAGGUUAAUCCGAGUGAUUCCUGCUAAAGGAAUCUUUUGUUAGUCAUAAUACCACUAACGAAUAAGGGGUGGGCAAGUUCUGGUGUCAGCCGCCGCGGUAAAACCAGCACCUCAAGUGGUCAGGAUGAUUAUUGGGCCUAAAGCAUCCGUAGCCGGCUUUGUUAGUUUUCGGUUAAAUCCAUAUGCUCAACAUAUGGGCUGCCGGGAAUACUGCAAAGCUAGGGAGUGGGAGAGGUAGACGGUACUCCGUAGGAAGGGGUAAAAUCCUUUGAUCUAUGGAUGACCACCUGUGGCGAAGGCGGUCCACCAGAACACGUCCGACGGUGAGGGAUGAAAGCUGGGGGAGCAAACCGGAUUAGAUACCCGGGUAGUCCCAGCUGUAAACUAUGCAAACUCAGUGAUGCAUUGGCUUGUGGCCAGUGCAGUGCCGCAGGGAAGCCGUUAAGUUUGCCGCC